rnacentral:rRNA from 1 species
UACGUAGGGUGCGAGCGUUGUCCGGAUUUACUGGGCGUAAAGAGCUCGUAGGUGGUUUGUCGCGUUGUUCGUGAAAUCUCACGGCUUAACUGUGAGCGUGCGGGCGAUACGGGCAGACUAGAGUACUGCAGGGGAGACUGGAAUUCCUGGUGUAGCGGUGGAAUGCGCAGAUAUCAGGAGGAACACCGGUGGCGAAGGCGGGUCGCUGGGCAGUAACUGACGCUGAGGAGCGAAAGCGUGGGGAGCGAACAGG